GACGAACGCUGGCGGCGUGCUUAACACAUGCAAGUCGAACGGAAAGGCCCUGCUUGCAGGGUACUCGAGUGGCGAACGGGUGAGUAACACGUGGGUGAUCUGCCCUGCACUUCGGGAUAAGCCUGGGAAACUGGGUCUAAUACCGGAUAGGAGCCAUUUUUAGUGUGAUGGUUGGAAAGUUUUUUCGGUGUAGGAUGAGCUCGCGGCCUAUCAGCUUGUUGGUGGGGUAAUGGCCUACCAAGGCGGCGACGGGUAGCCGGCCUGAGAGGGUGGACGGCCACAUUGGGGCUGAGAUACGGCACAGACUCCUACUGGAGGCAGAAGUGGGGAAUAUUGCACAAUGGGCGCAAGCCUGAUGCAGCGACGCCGCGUGGGGGAUGACGGCCUUCGGGUUGUAAAAUCCUUUCGCUAGGGACGAAGCUUUUUGUGACGGUACCUAGAUAAGAAGCACCGGCUAACUACGUG
rnacentral:rRNA from 1 species